CCAAUUUGGAGAGUUUGAUCCUGGCUCAGGACGAACGCUGGCGGCGUGCCUAAUACAUGCAAGUCGAGCGGAGUCUUGUUGGAAGCUUGCUUCCAACCUGGCUUAGCGGCGGACGGGUGAGUAACACGUAGGCAACCUACCCUCUAGACUGGGAUAACUACCGGAAACGGUAGCUAAUACCGGAUAAUUCCUUG
rnacentral:rRNA from 1 species